AACGAACGCUGGGGCAUGCCUAACACAUGCAAGUCGAACGAGACCUUCGGGUCUAGUGGCGCACGGGUGCGUAACGCGUGGGAAUCUGCCCUAGGGUUCGGAAUAACAGUUAGAAAUGACUGCUAAUACCGGAUAAUGACGUAAGUCCAAAGAUUUAUCGCCCAAGGAUGAGCCCGCGUAGGAUUAGCUUGUUGGUGAGGUAAAGGCUCACCAAGGCGACGAUCCUUAGCUGGUCUGAGAGGAUGAUCAGCCACACUGGGACUGAGACACGGCCCAGACUCCUACGGGAGGCAGCAGUGGAGAAUAUUGGACAAUGGGCGAAAGCCUGAUCCAGCAAUGCCGCGUGAGUGAUGAAGGCCUUAGGGUUGUAAAGCUCUUUUACCCGGGAUGAUAAUGACAGUACCGGGAGAAUAAGCCCCGGCUAACUCCGUGCCAGCCGCCGCCGUAAGAC
rnacentral:rRNA from 1 species